rnacentral:rRNA from 1 species
UACGUAGGGGGCUAGCGUUGUCCGGAUUUAUUGGGCGUAAAGAGCGUGUAGGCGGCCAUGUAGGUCCGGUGUGAAAACUCGAGGCUUAACCUCGAGAUGUCAUCGGAAACCAUUUGGCUAGAGUCCGGAAGAGGAGAGUGGAAUUCCUGGUGUAGCGGUGAAAUGCGCAGAUAUCAGGAAGAACACCAAUGGCGAAAGCAGCUCUCUGGGACGGUACUGACGCUGAGACGCGAAAGCGUGGGGAGCAAACCGG